AAAUUGAAGAGUUUGAUCAUGGCUCAGAUUGAACGCUGGCGGCAGGCCUAACACAUGCAAGUCGAACGGUAACAGGAAGCAGCUUGCUGCUUCGCUGACGAGUGGCGGACGGGUGAGUAAUGUCUGGGAAACUGCCUGAUGGAGGGGGAUAACUACUGGAAACGGUGGCUAAUACCGCAUAACGUCGCAAGACCAAAGAGGGGGACCUUCGGGCCUCUUGCCAUCAGAUGUGCCCAGAUGGGAUUAGCUUGUUGGUGAGGUAACGGCUCACCAAGGCGACGAUCCCUAGCUGGUCUGAGAGGAUGACCAGCCACACUGGAACUGAGACACGGUUCAGACUCCUACGGGAGGCAGCAGUGGGGAAUAUUGCACAAUGGGCGCAAGCCUGAUGCAGCCAUGCCGCGUGUAUGAAGAAGGCCUUCGGGUUGUAAAGUACUUUCAGCGGGGAGGAAGGUGUUG
rnacentral:rRNA from 1 species